rnacentral:rRNA from 1 species
UUUUAAUUUGGCUUUGGUUAUAAUAUAAGCUAUAGCUAAUUUUAUAUAUGUUAGGUUUUUGUUGUGUAAUCGGUUUGUUUAUAUAUGUUACUAAUUUUUUUAGUUUAAUACUUAUUAAUUGGUGACUUGUGUCAUUAGUAUUUAUUAGGAUGAUAGUAAUAGGCUACGCAGUAUUUAUUAUUGUACAAUGGAUGAAAGUUUGAUAUAGUUAAUGUAUUUAAAGGUGGUUAAAUUGGUGCCAGCAUCUGCGGUUAUACCUAUACUUUAAGUUUAUAUUUAUAUAGUAUAAAAUAAAGUAUUAAGUUUAAAUUUGUUAGAACUAAUGAGUAUAGUAAUUGUAGGUAAAAUUUAAUUAUUGUAAUUAACUAAAUGGUUCUAAUAUAAAUUCUUUGAAAAUAAGGUUUGUAUAAACUAGGAUUAGAGACCCUAUUAUUCUUUAUCUUAAAAAUUUUUACUUAAGUAGUAUGGACAAUAUUAUAUUAUUUGUAUGUCUGAAAUUUAAAAGGCUUGGCGGUGUUAUAUAUCCUUCUAGGGGAGUUUGCUUAUUAAUUUGAUAAUCCUCAAUUUAUACUUACUUUUUUUUGAAUUGUAAACAGUUUGUGUAUUGCUGUCGUCAGUUUAUUUUGUAAAAAUUUUGUAAAAAACUUAAUAACGAUUUGGUUAUGAUGUCAAGUCAAAAUGCAGUUAAUAAGAAAGGUUUAAAAGUGAGCUACAAUUUAUAAUAUUUAAUCAGAUUAAAUAGUGUAAUUUAUUUAUGAAGUUGGACUUGGUAGUAAUAAAGGUUUUAAAGUAGUGGGUUUUUAUGAAUUAGGUUUUAUAAUGCGUACAUAUCGCCCGUCGCUCUUGUUGGAAAAUAAGAUAAGUCGUAACAUAGUAGGGGUAGUGGAAGCUGCUCCUGGGAUGAA